GACGAACGCUGGCGGCGUGCUUAACACAUGCAAGUCGAACGGAAAGGCCAUGCUCUUGUGGGGUGCACGAGUGGCGAACGGGUGAGUAACACGCGAGUAAACUGCACUUGUAUUUGGGAUAACUUCUGGAAAAUGGGGCUAAUAUCGGAUAGGAGCUCCUGCAGCAUGGUGGGGGUUGGAAAGUUUCGGCGGUUGGGGAUGGAUUCGCGGCUUAUCAGCUUGUUGGUGGGGUAGUGGCGUACCAAGGCUUUGACGGGUAGCCGGCCUGGGAGGGUGACCAGCCACAAUGGGACUAAGAUACGGCCCAGACGCCUACGGGAGGCAGCAGUGGGGAACAUUGCGCAAUGGGCGGAAGCCUGAUACAGCGACGCCGCGUGCGUAAUGACGGGCUUCGAGUUAUAAACCGCUGUCGCCUGUGACGAAGCGUUAGUGACGGUAAUGAGUAAAGAAGCACCGGCUAACUACGUG
rnacentral:rRNA from 1 species